AUUUUUGUUUUGAUACGCAGGUGCGAUGGCCGCUGCUGGCUGUGAUUUCCGCCUUAUUUCAAUCUAGCUGGUAAUACAAUAUUUCACUGUCAGCUGAGUUUUCUCUCCGUGAAAAGCUAUGGAAUAAACAAUUGUGAUCAUACCCAUAUAUUUAGCCAUUGAACAUAACAAUCGGAAGCGUAGCUGGAGGGAGGGGAACGUAUAACGCCGUCCGCCACGGGCCGCGUUUAUGGUGCGCACAUUAUUUUACGAUUUGAGUGUU